rnacentral:rRNA from 1 species
GUCUACGGCCAUGCUACCCUGAACAAGCCCGAUCCUGUCUGAUGUCAGAAGUUAAGCAAGGUCGGGUCUUGUUAGUACUUGGACGGGAGACCACCUAGGAAGACGAGGUGCUGUAGGUG